GGUUUCCUUCGGGGUCAGGUGAAAUUCCGAACCGGCGGUGAUGAAGCUGUGCUUCUUAGUCCGUGACCCGGUUAACGUUUUCGUUAAACGGUGGAUCUGGUGAAACUCCAGGGCCGACAGUUAAAGUCUGGAUGGGAGAAGGAAAAA
rnacentral:ncRNA from 2 species